rnacentral:rRNA from 4 species
GACCAUAGCAUUGUGGACCCACCUGAUUCCAUGCCGAACUCAGAAGUGAAACACAAUAGCGCCGAUGGUAGUGUGGGGCUUCCCCAUGUGAGAGUAGGACAUCGCCAGGC